rnacentral:rRNA from 1 species
AGUCGACGGGAAUGCUUCGCUGAUGCGAUUUCGGUCAAAUCUUGAAGCAUUUUAGUGGCGGACGGGUGAGUAACGCGUGGGUAACCUGCCCUGUACAGGGGGACAACAGUUGGAAACGACUGCUAAUACCGCAUAAGCGCACAGCUUCGCAUGAAGCAGUGUGAAAAACUCCGGUGGUACAGGAUGGACCCGCGUCUGAUUAGAUAGUUGGUGAGGUAACGGCCCACCAAGUCAACGAUCAGUAGCCGGCCUGAGAGGGCGAACGGCCACAUUGGGACUGAGACACGGCCCAAACUCCUACGGGAGGCAGCAGUGGGGAAUAUUGCACAAUGGGGGAAACCCUGAUGCAGCGACGCCGCGUGAGUGAAGAAGUAUUUCGGUAUGUAAAGCUCUAUCAGCAGGGAAGAAAACAAUGACGGUACCUGACUAAGAAGCCCCGGCUAACUACGUGCCAGCAGCCGCGGUAAUACGUAGGGGGCAAGCGUUAUCCGGAUUUACUGGGUGUAAAGGGAGCGUAGACGGUAGACCAAGUCUGAAGUGAAAGCCCGGGGCUCAACCCCGGAACUGCUUUGGAAACUGGUAAACUAGAGUGCAGGAGAGGUAAGUGGAAUUCCUAGUGUAGCGGUGAAAUGCGUAGAUAUUAGGAGGAACACCAGUGGCGAAGGCGGCUUACUGGACUGUAACUGACGUUGAGGCUCGAAAGCGUGGGGAGCAAACAGGAUUAGAUACCCUGGUAG